rnacentral:rRNA from 1 species
CCCUUAGAUGUUCUGGGCCGCACGCGCACUACACUGACGGAGUCAACGAGUUGUCCUGCAUCGGAAGGUGUGGGUAAUCUUUUGAAACUUCGUCGUGCUGGGGAUAGAUCUUUGCAAUUUUCGAUCUUGAACGAGGAAUUCCUAGUAAGCGUGAUUCAUCAGAUCGCGUUGAUUACGUCCCUGCCCUUUGUACACACCGCCCGUCGCUACUACCGAUUGAAUGGUUUAGUGAGGCCUCGGGACUGGCGCGCUCGAGUAGCAAUACACCUGCGCGCCGGGAACUUGGUCAAACUUGAUCAUUUAGAGGAAGUAAAANUCGUAACA